GAUGAACGCUGGCGGCGUGCCUAAUACAUGCAAGUCGAGCGAACAGACGAGGAGCUUGCUCCUCUGACGUUAGCGGCGGACGGGUGAGUAACACGUGGAUAACCUACCUAUAAGACUGGGAUAACUUCGGGAAACCGGAGCUAAUACCGGAUAAUAUAUUGAACCGCAUGGUUCAAUAGUGAAAGACGGUUUUGCUGUCACUUAUAGAUGGAUCCGCGCCGCAUUAGCUAGUUGGUAAGGUAACGGCUUACCAAGGCAACGAUGCGUAGCCGACCUGAGAGGGUGAUCGGCCACACUGGAACUGAGACACGGUCCAGACUCCUACGGGAGGCAGCAGUAGGGAAUCUUCCGCAAAGGGCGAAAGCCUGACGGAGCAACGCCGCGUGAGUGAUGAAGGUCUUCGGAUCGUAAAACUCUGUUAUUAGGGAAGAACAAAUGUGUAAGUAACUAUGCACGUCUUAACGGUACCUAAUUAGAAAGCCACGGCUAACUACGUG
rnacentral:rRNA from 1 species